AAAGUUUUAAGUUAAACUUAAACUAUUAACCUUCAAAGUUAAAUAUAUAUAUAUUAAUAUAUAAGCUUUA
rnacentral:tRNA from 1 species